GCACGGCUAAUGGAUUUAUGUUUGGAUUUGUCCACUGAUCCUUUCAUAGUGUACUCCGUUCUAUAGCAAAUCACUGAACCAAACCAUUGACCGGCCUGAAUAUCCCGUAGGCCUUGAUCACUGAUGGGUGCAGUACAUUC
rnacentral:snoRNA from 1 species